CUGUCGAAAUAAUUACAAGGUAAUAUUGUUAUUCCUUGGAGUAUUUAUCACGUCCUGAAACGAGUGUUCGCGAUAGAUAAAUAGAACUCUCGUGUUUUGCCACAGUUCUUAAGGAGCCGCUUUCGAGAGCGUGUCGAACAACACCGCGGUUAUAUUUCGUUCCUAAAAUAUUUCUAUCAUCGGCGAAAAAAUAACGACACGGCAGAUCGAUGGACGGACUUCUCGAAUUUAUUAGGAAUCGAACGCUGACUUAUUGGGAAUUUUAUUGGUUCAAUAAGUUGGUUUGCGAGAAAGAUGAGGAAUCGCGAAUUUGUCCAGAAUUUGGGAUAGGUCAGUGAGACAAGGUGCGAGCGAGAGAUCCGAGUAAGCAACAAGGGUAGAGAUAGUGAAUAGAUUAAAAAUUACCAUUUUCUCUACACGAUGAUAUCUCAAGAACCGGAAGUCGUAUCGAGAUAAAUCAAAAAACACCUUAAAGGGUAAGAUUCUGCGUUUCUAAUGAUUCGUUCGUACGUUGAUUAAAAGUCAUUAUCUUCGAAGUUAUAGCGGUUCAAAGAUUUCCUAAUUUUAAUCGAGUUUUGAAACAAAUUACGCAACUGCUCGUGUUCAAAUCAUAUAAAAGUGAAAAAAAAAGAAGGUAUAUAUGAUACCUUAGAUCUAUAAAAUAGAAGAAUUGUUCUUAUGUCUGCACGUACGUUUAUCUGACAUUUAUCUUUCGAAUGCAGCCAAUCGAAUCUUCCAACUUCUUCCAAACAGAGUUUCUUCAAAAAGAGAUUCCUCGACACGAGGGUAUAAUCCCAAGUACAAAAUCGAGAAAGUUUCGAGCAAAGUUUCGGACGUUGAAUUUAUAUCCAACCGCAUAAAUCGCAAAGAUAUUAUAUUAAAAAAAAAAAAAAAAAAUAAAAGAAAAAUGGACA